UUCUGACAUUAGGUAUGGAUAAUUCUUUGUUGUACUUGGUCUGCAUUCCCUUUUCUGAGUGUGUGGGAUGAUGUCCAACCAUCAUUUUUCUUUUCCAUAGUAAAUUGAUUGCUGAACACUUGAUCGGAGUUUUAUUAGCACUAAUGGUACUUCCUUGUUCAAUAUUUAUAGUAGACAAAUAUAUUUGGUUUUUGUUCUGAAACGUGUAGUUUCUGCAUUUGCUGAAUGCUUUAAAUUGUGGGAUUUUAACAUUCAAGCAGAUCUUAGAGGACUGUUUCUCUUCUUUAGAAACUAAUAACAACUUACACUCUAAUCAUUUGAAACUAGCAUGGAUACUCUAUAUAUUAGGUGGAUUCUUCUCCGAAUACUGGAAUUAUGAGUUUUAUUCAUGUUAGUUAUCAGGAAAUAUGUAAACAAGUGAUCAGUCGUAAUGAAAGUACAAAGUUCUUACACAGCCUAUAGAAUUUGUAAGCAUUUGAAGCAAACUACUGUUUGCAAUGCUUGUUACCUAUAUAGAUUCUUGUUUACAUAUUUUUACUUGAACUACCUCUCUUUUGAUUGUUUUAGAACAGGAAAUUUUAUUUUAAGAUUGACAAUCAUUAUUAACGUCACAUUAACAAUUUUUAUAGUGAGAUAAGGAUUGAAGGUCUGGAGACACUGGACUACCUAGACAACCUUUUCAAAAAAGAACGAUUUACUGAACAAGGAGAUGCAAUAACAUUUGAAUCUGAGGCGGAUCGAGUUUAUCUUAGCUCUCCAAACAUAAUUGCAGUGCUAGAUCAUGAGAAGAAGCGAACAUUUGUUAUAAGGAAGGAAGGUCUCCCUGAUGUUGCUGUGUGGAAUCCAUGGGAAAAGAAAUCAAAAUCCAUGGUAGAUUUUGGUGAUGAAGAGUACAAACAGAUGCUUUGUGUUGACGGGGCGGUGAUAGAGAAACCGGUGAGCUUGAAGCCGGGAGAGGAAUGGACCGGUCGGCUGCAGCUAUCAGUUGUGCCAUCAAGUUUUUGCAGUGACCGUCUUGGUCUUGACAGAAGUGGUCUUUGAGGAAUUGUACAAAAUGGGUCUGAGUUAAUGCUGCUACUACAUCCAGCAAUGUAGCAGCAUCUAGUUGUAGAAAUAGUGCUGUUCAGUAGGAGUGUCAGGUUUUAUGUUGUUAUGAUCUUAGGCUAGAAAUAGUGCUUUAUAGAGGCCUAUGUUUUUUGUGAGAAUGGCUUUCAAGUGUUACCAGGUCAUUAGUCAGUUGGUU
rnacentral:sRNA from 1 species